UCUCUGAGGCUGUGGGUGCUUGUAGGGAGU
rnacentral:piRNA from 1 species